CAGUCGCCGCGGUAAAACGUAGGGUGCAAGCGUUAAUCGGAAUUACUGGGCGUAAAGCGUGCGCAGGCGGUUUGUUAAGACAGAUGUGAAAUCCCCGGGCUCAACCUGGGAACUGCAUUUGUGACUGGCGGGCUAGAGUAUGGCAGAGGGGGGUAGAAUUCCACGUGUAGCAGUGAAAUGCGUAGAGACGUGGAGGAAUACCGAUGGCGAAGGCAGCCCCCUGGGCCAAUACUGACGCUCAUGCACGAAAGCGUGGGGAGCAAACAGGAUUAGAUACACGGGUAGUCCCUGUCUCUUAUAA
rnacentral:rRNA from 1 species